GUGUUUGCUUCGGCAGCACAUACACUAAAGUUGGACCAAUGCAGAGAAGAUUAGCCUGGUCCCUGCGCAAGGAUGACACGCAAAUUCAUGAAGCGUUCCAUAUUUAA
ensembl:snRNA U6 U6 spliceosomal RNA